rnacentral:tRNA from 1 species
UCCCUGGUGAUCCAGCGGCUAAGACUCUGUGCUCCCAAUGCAGGGGGCCAGGGUUCAAUCCCUGGUCAGGGAA